rnacentral:rRNA from 1 species
UACGGGGGGGGCAAGCGUUGUUCGGAAUUACUGGGCGUAAAGGGCUCGUAGGCGGCCAACUAAGUCAGACGUGAAAUCCCUCGGCUUAACCGGGGAACUGCGUCUGAUACUGGAUGGCUUGAGGUUGGGAGAGGGAUGCGGAAUUCCAGGUGUAGCGGUGAAAUGCGCAGAUAUCGGGAAGAACACCCGUGGCGAAGGCGGCUCUCUGGGGACGGUACUGACGCUG